rnacentral:rRNA from 1 species
CCUACGGGUGGCAGCAGUCGAGAAUCAUUCACAAUGGGGGAAACCCUGAUGGUGCGACGCCGCGUGGGGGAAUGAAGGUCUUCGGAUUGUAAACCCCUGUCAUGUGGGAGCAAAUUAAAAAGAUAGUACCACAAGAGGAAGAGACGGCUAACUCUGUGCCAGCAGCCGCGGUAAUACAGAGGUCUCAAGCGUUGUUCGGAAUCACUGGGCGUAAAGCGUGCGUAGGCUGUUUCGUAAGUCGUGUGAGAAAGGGGCGGGCUCAACCCGCGGAAGGCACAUGAUACUGCGAGACUAGAGUAAUGGAGGGGGAACCGGAAUGCUCGGUGUAGCAGUGAAAUGCGUAGAUAUCGAGAGGAACACUCGUGGCGAAGGCGGGUUCCUGGACAUUAACUGACGCUGAGGCACGAAGGCCAGGGGGGCGAAAGGGAUUAGAUACCCUUGUAGUC